CCAAAAUCUAAAAUUUAAUCACAUAUUAAAUAGAUGAGAGUUUGUUCUUAUUGUGCCGAACUCUGCCCGAGUUUUCUUUAAUCAAAGAAUCAAAAUUUGGAGUACUUAUUUUGAUUUUAUUUUGGCGAGUUCCUGUUUCUUAAAUGGAUUGUGUUAGUUUCCUCUUCACAGAGAUGGAUCGACUGCUGCAACAGCGUCUACAGCCCUCACACACGUGGCGCCCAGACUGUAAGACAUCUAUCUUGCCUUCGCAGAGUAACUUUUUUUAGAGUAGAUAUAACUUUUUCUUCUCUGCAGAAAUCCAGUGUUUCGCAGUAGAGAGUGGGUUCAAACACUGGCCUGCUGUCAAGCUCGUACAUUUACUUGUGUGAGAGUCGGUGAAGUGCAUCGAGUCGACGUUUUGUGGCAGCGGUAGAUUUAUGUCUGUGUUUUGGCAGAAAUUGAAGGAUUGAGAGGGACUCCGAGAAAGUCACGUCUCCUUUUGUUCUGCUUCCAUUUGUCCUUUUCUGUUUUCUCACAGUCUUUCGCUGGUUUUAGGUUUUUUUAAAACACCGAUAUGAAAGUUAGAGCCACUGUUGACGCCUAAUUUAAAUGCCCUGAAGUUCGCCCUUCAAACAUCUGUGAUUGGAGCUGAAGGCAAGAGACGGAUUUCCAGCUGAAGACUCCCACAGAGGUGUGAAGCAGGUGCGUAAGUCUUUCCCAUCUCUCAGUCACAAAUUAAAUAAGAAAAUACAGAUAAUUUUCAGUUUAAUGGCAUCAGGCUAUAAGAGCUACAGAGGAGGUAAGACGUUGAUGUAUAUAAAAGAUCAUAGACAGUCGGGGACGAACCCCGCUUCCUGGUAAACACAGGUGGAUAUUCAGACUCUCUUUGCCGCCCCGUGAGAGGACGAGACACUAAAGCCUUGUGGGUAAUAUUGUCAUCAUUAUGCUGGAUUCACAGUCGGCACCUCUCCCUCUCUGUUCUUCAGAUUUCGGUCCCCCUGCCUCUUCAAAGGGACCCAUGGGACCGGACAGAGAAUAUAUAGCUGGUGUGUGUUCCUGGUAAUUGGCUCUAAGGUGGCGCGGGCCUGCGAGUCCUUCCAGCGGGGGCCGAAACGGGCUGUUUGAAUUCAGCCAUUGUGCUCACAUGCUGCUCCUCCCUCUGCACAGGCAUGUGUGGAUGUACUGCAGCGUGAUUGUCAGCUGUGACUCAACCCUACAGGUCGCAGGAUCAUUUCUGAAGAGGCCUGUCACGGUCACGAGGACAUCUUGUUUUUGUUAGCAUGUUUGGUAUUUAGGUUUCGGGCCCUGUGCAUUGAGGUGGUGAGUUUCAGUGCAAACACUGUUGAGUAGUUGUUUGUCGAGUGAUUACUUCAGGUUUCUUUCUAUUAAACUUGGCCUUCCAGAAAGUGUAGCCAUCUUUAAUUAAUGAUCAAUAAAAUGAUCAGCGCUCAGGAAAGAGGAUAAAAUGUACUUGUGAAACAUUUCUCUGCAGCUGAAGACAGAAACUCUUUUAAAAUGUUUGUUUCUGUGAUGGAUGGUGUCGUUUUUACACUCCAGUACAUAAUGGGAAAAAUGUUCAAAACACAGACAGAAAAAUACAGUUUCUGAAAAAUCUAUAUCUUCCAAACAGUUUUUUUACUCAUAGACUUUCACUCUUCAAAUGCCAAAAAAACCCACCGCUGUAAACCGAGUCGUUGGAAAUCAGUCAUCGUCGAGGGUCCGCUUUAUAUGAUGAGACAUUCUGCAGCAGAUUCAGGAUCACUGAUUCGACUCUGAAACAUUUUAUUCAGGAUGUGAAUGUCACGAUACACAGACGCUGGAUUAAACUGCUUAAAAAGACAAAGGUGUGUAUUUAGUGUAACAUUAAUCAACCAAUCAGAGAGCUCCAGGUGAACCUGCAGACAGGAGUGUUACUAUUUACACAGCAGAUUUGCGCUUUAAUGAUGCGUUCCAGUUACUUCGGAAGUCGGAUGUCGGAGCUGGGAAUGACGUUACACCCAAGAUGGACACCUAUUGUUAACCGUUGUUAGCUGUUGUUUACAAUUGUCAGUUGUUGUCAGCUGUUGUUAGCGAUACCAUUUGUAAACAACACAGUAACACAAUAUUUUACUCUUACAAACACCAUAGUACCGUGUUCACAAUUAGACGUUAGGCAGUACAACAUAAACCACUUAUUUAAUUUCACUAAAGAAAAACCGAAGUGCUAAUAAAUAAAACAUUACGAGAUCUUUCACUGUUACUCUUUACUGUUGAUGAACUGCGCUGCCAUCUUAGAUUAUGACGUUGUCGUCAAGUUGGGGUCAGUGAGGAUCGUCCAGCUUUCUGAGUCAGAAAUCCGACUUCAGGGGGGCGUUCCAGAUGAAUUUCCAACUCGGAGCUCGGAAAUCCCGACUUCUGAGUACAAUAAUAAUAAAAGUACAAUAAUUCUCUGACAGGAUGCAGUAUAAUUCUCUUAUUUCUGCUACUGAAUCAAAGUGUGCAUAAUGGACACUGCGAUACCAUACGAUAGAAUUCACUUUAUUGUCCCCAAUGGAAAUUUUAUCCUGGACUCGAGCGCUGCACCUGCUCACAUCCUCAAAUAGAGGCACACAGAGUGUACGGACAGAGGGGACAUGAGGCUUGGAGUACACUCACUCAUUAUCAUUAAAAAGAAAGUUCACUUAAACUCCAAGUAUUAGAGAAAUAUCAUGAAGUUGAUGGCCUUUGACAGGAUGAUCAGACGUCUGUGAUUAUGUUUGAAACACCUCACAGUGAUGGAAAGCUCCGGUCUGUUCUGUAAACCUCGAAUUCUUUGGGUAAAAUAACACAAAUUCAGGUUAAAAGAAUAUUCAAACG